AUUGAACGCUGGCGGAAUGCUUUACACAUGCAAGUCGAACGGCAGCACGGGGGCAACCCUGGUGUCGAGUGGCGAACGGGUGAGUAAUACAUCGGAACGUGCCCAGUCGUGGGGGAUAACGUAGCGAAAGUUACGCUAAUACCGCAUACGAUCUACGGAUGAAAGCGGGGGACCGUAAGGCCUCGCGCGAUGGGAGCGGCCGAUGUCAGAUUAGGUAGUUGGGGGGGGAAAGGCUCACCAAGCCGACGAUCUGUAGCUGGUCUGAGAGGACGACCAGCCACACUGGGACUGGGAACGGGCCCAGACUCCUACGGGAGGCAGCAGUGGGGAAUUUUGGACAAUGGGCGCAAGCCUGAUCCAGCCAUUCCGCGUGCAGGACGAAGGCCUUCGGGUUGUAAACUGCUUUUGUACGGAACGAAAAGGCUCUGGUUAAUACCUGGGGCUCAUGACGGUACCGUAAGAAUAAGCACCGGCUAACUACGUGCCAGCCGCCGCGGUAA
rnacentral:rRNA from 1 species